UUAUAAGAGACAGCAGCCGCCGCGGUAACACGAAGGGUGCAAGCGUUACUCGGAAUUACUGGGCGUAAAGCGUGUGUAGGUGGUUGUUUAAGUCUGUCGUGAAAGCCCUGGGCUCAACCUGGGAAUUGCGAUGGAUACUGGGCGACUAGAGUGCGGUAGAGGAUAGUGGAAUUUCCGGUGUAGCAGUGAAAUGCGUAGAUAUCGGAAGGAACACCUGAGGCGAAAGCGGCUCACUGGACCAUAACUGACGCUGAGGCGCGAAAGCUAGGGGAGCAAACAGGAUUAGAUACCCCUGUAGUCCCUGUCUCUUAUAC
rnacentral:rRNA from 1 species